rnacentral:rRNA from 1 species
GAUGAACGCUGGCGGCGUGCUUAACACAUGCAAGUCGAGCGAGUGAGUUCUUCGGAACGAUCUAGCGGCGGACGGGUGAGUAACACGUGGGCAACCUGCCUCAUAGAGGGGAAUAGCCUCCCGAAAGGGAGAUUAAUACCGCAUAAAAUUAUCGAGUGGCAUCACACGGUAAUCAAAGGAGUAAUCCGCUAUGGGAUGGGCCCGCGGCGCAUUAGCUAGUUGGUGAGGUAACGGCUCACCAAGGCGACGAUGCGUAGCCGACCUGAGAGGGGGAUCGGCCACAUUGGGACUGAGACACGGCCCAGACUCCUACGGGAGGCAGCAGUGGGGAAUAUUGCACAAUGGGGGAAACCCUGAUGCAGCAAUGCCGCGUGAGUGAUGACGGCCUUCGGGUUGUAAAGCUCUGUCUUCGGGGACGAUAAUGACGGCACCCGAGGAGGAAGCCACGGCUAACUACGUGCCAGCCGCCGCUGUAA